AAACUUUGGAUGAUUGGGUUUUGAUUUACAAAGAGGGGAAUGGAAGGUGGCACCCGGACCGGGAGGUAGACGACGUGGCCGAUCGAUGACAUCGACGCCCCGCUCCACUCGCCUGGCAGCCUUCCAAUCCGUCUCCUUCUCCCCCUCCCCUGCCGCGACUCCUGUCGCCUUCACUCCCCGCCGCUCCAACUCGCACCCCGCUGCCCGCCUCCGCCUCCGCUGCUGUUGCUCCACCGGCGAUCCGGCGGCGAUGGUGAAGGCCAUCAGGGUCCACGAGCUCGGCGGCCCCGAGGCGCUGCGGUGGGAGGAGGUGGAGGUGGGCGAGCCCGGGGACGGCGAGAUCCGGAUCCGGAACACCGCCAUCGGCGUCAACUUCAUCGACGUCUACUUCCGCAAGGGCGUCUACCCCGCUCCCCUCCCCUUCACCCCCGGUAUGGAAGCUGUUGGUGUGGUGACCGCUGUAGGGCCUGGCCUGACCGGCAGGAAAGUCGGGGAUGUUGUCGCGUACGCAGGCAAGCCUAUGGGUUCUUAUGCUGAAGAGCAGAUUAUUCCAGCCGAUGUUGCUGUUCCUGUCCCACCUUCAGUAAAUCACAAGACAGCGGCUGCCAUCAUGCUCAAGGGGAUGACUGUUCAUAUGCUAGUUCGCCGCAUAUUUAAGGUUGAGACCGGCCAUACCGUUCUCGUCCACGCUGCUGCUGGUGGAGUUGGAUCACUCCUUUGUCAAUGGGCAAACGCCCUUGGUGCCACUGUCAUUGGAACUGUUUCAAAUGAAGAGAAAGCCUCACAUGCACAUUUUGAUGGAUGUCACCAUGUGAUCAUCUACACAAAGGAAGAUGUUGCAACCAGAGUCAAGGAGAUUACAGGUGGAAAAGGUGUAAAUGUGGUCUAUGAUUCUGUUGGAAAGGACACAUACAAGGCAUCCUUGGAGUGCCUGGCGUACCGUGGUUUCCUGGUGUCGUUCGGGCAAUCCUCGGGCUCGCCUGACCCGAUCUCCAUGGGCGACCUGGCGGCGAAGUCGCUUUUCCUGACGAGGCCAAGCGUGAUGCACUACACAGGCACCCGUGACGAGCUGCUUGAGGUGGCGGGCGAGGUGUUUGCCAACGUGGCCAACGGGGUGCUGCACACCCGCGUGAAGCACACCUACCCGCUGUCCGAGGCGGCCCGCGCCCACGCCGACCUCGAGGCCCGGAAGACCUCAGGCUCCGUACUGCUGAUCCCGUAGAACUAAGCACCAUCUUCCUUUCCAGUAGGAGAAGAAUGAAUGAAUAAACAGGGACUAGGCGAUGUAUGGGCUCUGGAAUUACGAAUGCCUGUGAAUAUGUUGGCAGGAGUUGGCAUCUGAACACCGAAUCCUCUGUCAGUCUGUCUCACCUGGUUAUGUUGGAUUCAGUAUGAAUGAAUGUUUGGUGGUUAUGAGUUGAACUGGAUUGUGGUCUUGUUGCGCGCAUCACUGUCUGUCUAGUAUACAUGGUGAAUGUGAUCAUCUCAUGUCAUGUGUUGAUUGGCUGUGAGGAGAGAUGGACAGGUGUCAAUGUUUUUUGCAGUACAAGUUGACCUUUUUUUUGGCCUGUCCCUGUCCCUGUUUAGGUGGAGAUAACAGGUAGAGAAAAGUAGGAAAUUCAAAAAUAUUCUUGCACAUAUUUUAUGUGUGAUGAUCAGCAUUUUAUCUACUACCAUCUCAUUUGUUUGUUCGAAAUGAUCAGAGGAAAAAGAAGAGGAGUUGUUG
rnacentral:rRNA from 1 species